rnacentral:ncRNA from 1 species
CCCGCUGGAACUUAAGCAUAUCAAUAAGCGGAGGAAAAGAAACUAACAAGGAUUCCCCUAGUAACGGCGAGUGAAGAGGGAAAAGCCCAAGUUUGAAAGCUGGCACCUUUGGUGUCCGCAUUGUAAACUCGAGAAGCAUUAUCCGCGCCGGACCAAGCUUUAAAUCCUUUGGAAUAAGGUACCUUAGAGGGUGAUAGUCCCUUUCAUAGUUUGGAACCCCCGGGGCUUUGUGAUUUGCUCUCCAGGAGUCGAGUUGUUUGGGAAUGCAGCUCAAAAUGGGUGGUAAAUGCCAUCUAAGGCUAAAUAUUGAGGAGAGACCGAUAGCGAACAAGUACCGUGAGGAAAGAUGAAAGAACUUUGGAAAGAGAGUUAAACAGUACGUGAAAUUGCCGGAAGGGAAGGGUAGGAAGUCAGACAUGCCUUUGCGGAUUCAGCUUGACCUUUUGAGGUUGUGUGUAUUUCCGUUUGGGCAGGCCAACAUCGAUUUUGGCUGUCGGAUAGGAAUGGAAGGAAUGUGGCACUCUUUUCGGAGGGUGUGUUAUAGCCUUCUAUUUGGUACGGCGGCUGGGAUCGAGGAACGCAGUGCACCCUUUUUUGGGCGGGCCUUCGGGCACCUUUGCACAUAGGAUGUUGGCUUAAUGGCUCUCUGCCACCCGUCUUGAAACACGGACCAAGGAGUCUAACAUGUAUGCGAGUCUUUGGGUGUGAAAACCCAUGGGCGAAAUGAAAGUGACCUUUAAGGUGGGACUCUUUGGAUGCACCAUCGACCGAUCUUGAAUUUUUAUAAUGACGGAUUUGAGUAAGAGCAUAUAUGUUGGGACCCGAAAGAUGGUGAACUAUGCCUGAAUAGGGUGAAGCCAGGGGAAACUCUGGUGGAAGCUCGUAGCGGUUCUGACGUGCAAAUCGAUCGUAAAAUUUGGGUAUAGGGGCGAAAGACUAAUCGAACCAUUAAGAUACUUAGGUGGUUAAGAGGCAGCUAAAAGGGCAUGUCUAGUGGGCGUUGAGGCCUGCGACACUAUCAAAUUGCGGGAACACCCUAAAGCUUUGACUACCGCGGCUCAUGGAAACAUAGAGUGCAGCACCAGGGUAACGACCUCGGGGAUGGUAAAAACGUCAAAGAUAUUGCAAUGGGCAAUCCGCAGCCAAGCUCUAAGGGACCGCAAGGGGGUGGCCUACGAGUGCAGUUCACAGACUAAAUGGUAGUGGGUGAUUUUGAUUGAAAUUGCUUAAGAUAUAGUCGACCCCUCUGCGAAAGCAGGCUUUAUGGAUGAAGCUUGA